rnacentral:rRNA from 1 species
GAUCAUGGCUCAGGAUGAACGCUAGCUACAGGCUUAACACAUGCAAGUCGAGGGGAAACGAUAUUGGAAGCUUGCUUCCGAUAGGCGUCGACCGGCGCACGGGUGAGUAACGCGUAUCCAACCUGCCCAUCACUUGGGAGUAACCUCGCGAAAGUAAGACUAAUGCCCAAUGACAUUUAUAGAAGGCAUCCGAAAUGAAUUAAAGAUUUAUCGGUGAUGGAUGGGGAUGCGU